rnacentral:rRNA from 1 species
GAUUAACGCUGGCGGCGUGCCUAACACAUGCAAGUCGAACGAGGUAGCAAUACCUAGUGGCAGACGGGUGAGUAACGCGUGGUCAACCUACCGUUGAGUGGGGGAUAACUAGCCGAAAGGUUAGCUAAUACCGCAUACGUCUCCGAGGGGCAUCCCUUGGCGAUAAAAGGAGCAAUCCGCUCGAUGACGGGACCGCGUCCCAUUAGCUAGAUGGUGGGGUAACGGCCUACCAUGGCACCGAGGGUAGCUGGUUUGAGAGAGCGACCGGCCACACUGGGACUGAGACACGGCCCAGACUCCUACGGGAGGCAGCAGUGGGGAAUCUUGCGCAAUGGGCGAAAGCCUGACGCAGCGACGCCGCGUGAGGGAUGACGGCCUC